UACGUAGGGUGCAAGCGUUGUCCGGAAUUAUUGGGCGUAAAGAGCUCGUAGGCGGUUUGUCGCGUCUGCUGUGAAAACGCGAGGCUCAACCUCGCGCCUGCAGUGGGUACGGGCAGACUAGAGUGCGGUAGGGGAGAUUGGAAUUCCUGGUGUAGCGGUGGAAUGCGCAGAUAUCAGGGGGAACACCGAUGGCGAAGGCAGAUCUCUGGGCCGUUACGUGACGCUGAGGAGCGAAAGCGUGGGGAGCGAACGAGG
rnacentral:rRNA from 1 species